rnacentral:misc_RNA from 1 species
GAUGAAGAACGCAGCGAAAUGCGAUAAGUAAUGUGAAUUGCAGAAUUCAGUGAAUCAUCGAGUUUUUGAACGCACAUUGCGCCCCCUGGUAUUCCGGGGGGCAUGCCUGUCCGAGCGUCAUUGCUGCCCUCAAGCACGGCUUGUGUGUUGGGCCUCCGUCCUCCUCCCGGGGGACGGGCCCGAAAGGCAGCGGCGGCACCGCGUCCGGUCCUCGAGCGUAUGGGGCUUCGUCACCCGCUCUUGUAGGCCCGGCCGGCGCUUGCCGACACAUCAAUCUUUUUUCCAGGUUGACCUCGGAUCAGGUAGGGAUACCCGCUGAACUUAAGCAUAUCAAUAAGCGGAGGA